UAUCAGAAGUGCGAAUGCUGACAUAAGUAACGAUAAAGCGGGUGAAAAGCCCGCUCGCCGGAAGACCAAGGGUUCCUGUCCAACGUUAAUCGGGGCAGGGUGAGUCGACCCCUAAGGCGAGGCCGAAAGGCGUAGUCGACGGACAACAGGUUGAAAUUCCUGUACCACCGAGAGCCGCUAUGAGCAACGGGGUGACGCAGGAGGGUAGUGACGCAGGCUGAUGGAUGCCUGUCUAAGCAGUGAGACUUGCAUGUAGGUAAAUCCGCAUGCUCUAAGGUCAGGCUGUGAUGGGGAGCGAAAAUUACAGUAGCGAAGGUCAUGAUCUCACACUGCCAAGAAAAGCCUCUAGCCAGGAAGCAGGUGCCCGUACCGUAAACCGACACAGGUAGGUGAGAAGAGAAUUCUAAGGCGCGCGGAAGAACUCUCGUUAAGGAACUCGGCAAAAUGACCCCGUAACUUCGGGAGAAGGGGUGCCCCGGUAGUGUGAAUAGCACGAGGGGGCCGCAGUGAAAAGGCCCAAGCGACUGUUUAGCAAAAACACAGGUCUGUGCGAAGCCGCAAGGCGAAGUAUACGGGCUGACGCCUGCCCGGUGCUGGAAGGUUAAGGAAGGGCGUUAGCGUAAGCGAAGCGUUUGACUGAAGCCCCAGUAAACGGCGGCCGUAACAAUAACGGUCCUAAGGUAGCGAAAUUCCUUGUCGGGUAAGUUCCGACCUGCACGAAUGGUGUAACGAUCUGGGCACUGUCUCAGCCACGAGCUCGGUGAAAUUGUAGUAUCGGUGAAGAUGCCGAUUACCCGCAAUGGGACGAAAAGACCCUGUGAACCUUUACUAUAACUUCGUAUUGACUUUGAGUAAGUAAUGUGUAGGAUAGGUGGGAGGCUUUGAAGCAGGCACGCCAGUGUUUGUGGAGCCAACGUUGAAAUACCACCCUUUACUUACUUGGAGCCUAACUUGACUUGUCAAGGACAUUGCGUGGUGGGUAGUUUGACUGGGGUGGUCGCCUCCAAAAGAGUAACGGAGGCUUUCAAAGGUACCCUCAGCACGCUUGGUAACCGUGCGUAGAGUGUAAUGGCAUAAGGGUGCUUGACUGUGAGACCUACAAGUCGAUCAGGUGCGAAAGCAGGACAUAGUGAUCCGGUGGUUCCGUAUGGAAGGGCCAUCGCUCAUAGGAUAAAAGGUACUCCGGGGAUAACAGGCUGAU
rnacentral:rRNA from 1 species